rnacentral:tRNA from 2 species
GGAGGGAUGGCCGAGCGGUCGAAGGCGGCGGUCUUGAAAACCGUUAGCGGGGAAACUCGCUCUAGGGUUCGAAUCCCUAUCCCUCCGCCA